rnacentral:rRNA from 1 species
CAGCCGCCGCGGGAAUACGAAGGGGGCUAGCGUUGCUCGGAAUGACUGGGCGUAAAGGGCGCGUAGGCGGCGAUCAAAGUCAGGCGUGAAAUUCCUGGGCUCAACCUGGGGGCUGCGCUUGAUACUUGGUUGCUUGAGUGGGGAAGAGGGUCGUGGAAUUCCCAGUGUAGAGGUGAAAUUCGUAGAUAUUGGGAAGAACACCGGUGGCGAAGGCGGCGACCUGGUCCUUGACUGACGCUGAGGCGCGAAAGCGUGGGGAGCAAACAGGAUUAGAUACCCCGUAGUCCCUGUCUCUUAUACA